rnacentral:lncRNA from 1 species
CACAGGAAGGAGCUUCCUUGUGCCACCAGGUCUCUAUGCUUCUUGGCAACUUGUUUUGGGCACCAUAAAAUGGUGGUAAUACUUCCCACUUCUCCUUCCUCUGGUUGUUAUCUGAAGGGCCUGUGUAUUCUGCCUUUUGCUGUCAGCAAUAAUUAAAGCAGAUCUCCAAAUAACCGCAACUCACAACUGUGGUUUGAACAAAGAUCUCAGCUGAAAAGUCCAAAUGAACUUUCUAUUUGUGAGAAGAGUUAUCCCCAAUCUAUGAACGUUAUGUACUUCAAACAUUCUUUAUUCCUCAUGGCCAUAUUAAUACCCAGGGAAUGGUCACAAACACCAUCCUGAGCUGCAGGGGAGCAUCUCCCGAUUGCAGAGCUGAAGACGACUCCUUUUUUUCCCCAACCAUUUGCAGAAAGCAAAACAGGUUCUGUUGACUCUUUCAGCAACAAACUGUCUGCCCCUGGGCAGAGAGCAAACAUGGAACAUUUCAGCCCCACAGGAAUUGGAGAAAAUGAAGAGCAACUGACUUAGGAGGGCUGUAAUCACAGUUGUGCUUCAGCUUGAGCUGCCACGAUCACUGUCGCUGCAAUCUGCACAGCAUCAGCUAUUGCUGCGAAGGCGUGAGGGCUGUGGUGUGCUUCAUCUCUGUAAGCAAAAUUAGGCAUGAAGCCAACACAAAAAGGGAGAUGAAGACACAGCAGCUUUCCACUAAGUACCAGUUUGGCUUUUGACCUCGCUGCUGUGCAACAGACUUGGCAUUUCUCAAUGCAGCCGUUGACUGUUUCUGUGACUGAUUCAUGGAAGAGUAUAAAUUACCAGCCUAUUAUCUGCAUUGUGCUACUGUCCAUCUUGCUUCUGCUCACCAGCCUCCACUAUAGAACUGCAGAACCACAGAACAUCCUGAGCUGGAAGGGAUGCACCAGGACCAUUGGGUCCAACUUCUGGCUCCAGACAGAACAUCCUCAAAUCCAGACCCAGUGUCUGGGAACAUUGUCCAAAGAGGCAGAGUUGGCCAAACAGAGCUGCCCAGCUGCGGUUCUGGUGCAGAAGGACACCUACUGGCUAGGGCAUGAAGCCACCUGUGGUGUUCUAGUCCUUAUGAAGUGCUGUAUGCCAGUGACAGAGCAUGUCUCAUGA